rfam:Triticum aestivum genome assembly, contig: Triticum_aestivum_CS42_TGACv1_scaffold_558084_7AL
AAAAUACUCCCUCCGUUCAGGAUUACUCGUCCAAGAAAUGAAUGUAUCUAGAUGUAUUUUAGUUGUAGAUACAUCCAUUUUUGUGACAAGUAAUUCCGAACGGAGGGAGUAGAUG